rnacentral:rRNA from 1 species
UACGGAGGGAGCUAGCGUUGUUCGGAAUUACUGGGCGUAAAGCGCACGUAGGCGGCUUUUUAAGUCAGGGGUGAAAUCCCGGGGCUCAACCCCGGAACUGCCCUUGAAACUGGAGAGCUAGAAUCUUGGAGAGGCGAGUGGAAUUCCGAGUGUAGAGGUGAAAUGCGUAGAUAUCGGGAGGAACACCAGUGGCGAAGGCGACUUCCUGGCCUGUUCUUGACGCUGAGGCGCGAAAGCUAGGGGAGCAAACGGG